rnacentral:snRNA from 1 species
AUCGCUUCUCGGCCUUUUGGCUAAGAUCAAGUGUAGUAUUCAGAUGCUUAUUGAUGUAAGAUAGAGUUACACCCCAA